rnacentral:rRNA from 1 species
GACAGAGGGUGCAAGCGUUGUUCGGAAUCACUGGGCGUAAAGGGUGCGUAGGCGGGUCUUUAAGUCAGGGGUGAAAUCCUGGAGCUCAACUCCAGAACUGCCUUUGAUACUGAGGAUCUUGAGUUCGGGAGAGGUGAGUGGAACUGCGAGUGUAGAGGUGAAAUUCGUAGAUAUUCGCAAGAACACCAGUGGCGAAGGCGGCUCACUGGCCCGAUACUGACGCUGAGGCACGAAAGCGUGGGGAGCAAACAGG